rnacentral:rRNA from 1 species
GCCCAGCCCUAAACUUUGAUAGCUAUAUACACCCGCUAUCCGCCCGGGUACUACGAGCAUCAGCUUAAAACCCAAAGGACUUGGCGGUGCUUUAGACCCACCUAGAGGAGCCUGUUCUAGAACCGAUAACCCCCGUUAAACCUCACCCUCUCUUGUUCCUUCCCGCCUAUAUACCGCCGUCGUCAGCUUACCCUGUGAAGGACUCAAAGUAAGCGGAACCAGUACAACUCAAAACGCCAGGUCGAGGUGUAGCAUAUGAGAGGGGAAGAAAUGGGCUACAUUCUCUGCCUCAGAAUAAACGGAAAAUGUUAUGAAAAAACAUUAGAAGGAGGAUUUAGCAGUAAGCAAAAAAUAGAGUGUUUUGCUGAAACUGGCCCUGAAGCGCGC